UACGUAGGGGGCUAGCGUUGUCCGGAUUUAUUGGGCGUAAAGAGCGUGUAGGCGGCCAGGUAGGUCACUGUGAAACUCGAGGCUCAACCUCGAGACGUCGGCGGAAACCAUCUGGCUAGAGUCCGGAAGAGGAGAGUGGAAUUCCUGGUGUAGCGGUGAAAUGCGCAGAUAUCAGGAAGAACACCCGUGGCGAAGGCGGCUCUCUGGGACGGUACUGACGCUGAGACGCGAAAGCGUGGGGAGCGAACAGG
rnacentral:rRNA from 1 species